GCGCCUGUAGCUCAAUUGGAUAGAGCAACGGCCUUCUAAGCCGUAGGUUGCAGGUUCGAGCCCUGCCAGGCGUGCCA
rnacentral:tRNA from 3 species